CAGCCGCCACGGGAAUACAGAGGGUGCAAGCGUUAAUCGGAAUUAUUGGGCGUAAAGGGUGCGUAGGUGGUCAUUUAAGUCAGAUGUGAAAUCCCAGGGCUUAACCUUGGAAUUGCAUUUGAUACUGGGUGGCUAGAGUACAGAAGAGGGAAGUGGAAUUUCCGGUGUAGCGGUGAAAUGCGUAGAUAUCGGAAGGAACAUCAGUGGCGAAGGCGACUUCCUGGUCUGUAACUGACACUGAGGCACGAAAGCGUGGGGAGCAAACAGGAUUAGAUACCCCAGUAGUCCCUGUCUCUUAUAC
rnacentral:rRNA from 1 species